GUUCUGGGCCGCACGCGCGCUACACUGAUGUAUUCAACGAGUAUAUAGCCUUGGCCGACAGGCCCGGGUAAUCUUGGGAAAUUUCAUCGUGAUGGGGAUAGAUCAUUGCAAUUGUUGGUCUCGAACGAGGAAUGCCUAGUAAGCGCGAGUCAUCAGCUCGCGUUGACUACGUCCCUGCCCUUUGUACACACCGCCCGUCGCUCCUACCGAUUGAAUGGUCCGGUGAAGUGUUCGGAUCGCGGCGACGGGGGCGG
rnacentral:ncRNA from 1 species